rnacentral:rRNA from 1 species
UCGAGCGGAUGAAGGGAGCUUGCUCCUGGAUUCAGCGGCGGACGGGUGAGUAAUGCUAGGAAUCUGCCUGGUAGGGGGGAUAACGUCCGGAAACGGGCGCUAAUACCGCAUACGUCCUGAGGGAGAAAGUGGGGGAUCUUCGGACCUCACGCUAUCGAUGAGCCUAGGUCGGAUUAGCUAGUUGGUGGGGUAAAGGCCUACCAAGGCGACGAUCCGUAACUGGUCUGAGAGGAUGAUCAGUCACCUGGAACUGAGACACGGUCCAGACUCCUACGGGAGGCAGCAGUGGGGAAUAUUGGACAAUGGGCGAAAGCCUGAUCCAGCCAUGCCGCGUGUGUGAAGAAGGUCUUCGGAUUGUAAAGCACUUUAGUUGGGAGGAAGGGCAGUAAGUUAAUACCUUGCUGUUUUGACGUACCAACAGAAUAAGCACCGGCUAACUUCGUGCCAGCAGCCGCGGUAAUACGAAGGGUGCAAGCGUUAAUCGGAAUUACUGGGCGUAAAGCGCGCGUAGGUGGUUCAGAAGUGGAUGUGAAAUCCCCGGGCUCAACCUGGGAACUGCAUCCAAAACUACUGAGCUAGAGUACGGUAGAGGGUGGUGGAAUUUCCUGUGUAGCGGUGAAAUGCGUAGAUAUAGGAAGGAACACCAGUGGCGAAGGCGACCACCUGGACUGAUACUGACACUGAGGUGCGAAAGCGUGGGGAGCAAACAGGGAUUAGAUACCCUGGAGUCCACGCGUAAACGAUGUCGACUAGCGUUGGGGAUCCUUGAAUCUUAGGGCCAUACGCGAUAGCGACCUCUGGGAGUACGGCCGCAAGGUUAAAACUAAAAUGAAUUGACGGGGGCCCGCACAAGCGAAAUGUGUU